rnacentral:rRNA from 1 species
AGCGAACGCUGGCGGCAGGCCUAACACAUGCAAGUCGAACGAACUCUUCGGAGUUAGUGGCGGACGGGUGAGUAACACGUGGGAACGUGCCUUUAGGUUCGGAAUAACUCAGGGAAACUUGUGCUAAUACCGAAUGUGCCCUUCGGGGGAAAGAUUUAUCGCCUUUAGAGCGGCCCGCGUCUGAUUAGCUUGUUGGUGAGGGAAAGGCUCACCAAGGCGACGAUCAGUAGCUGGUCUGAGAGGAUGAUCAGCCACAUUGGGACUGAGACAUGGCCCAAACUCCUAAGGGAGGCAGCAGUGGGGAAUCUUGCGCAAUGGGCGAAAGCCUGACGCAGCCAUGCCGCGUGAAUGAUGAAGGUCUUAGGAUUGUAAAAGUCUUUCACCGGGGACGAUAAUGACGGUACCCGGAGAAGAAGCCCCGGCUAACUUCGUGCCAGCAGCCGCCGUAA